rnacentral:pre_miRNA from 1 species
GAGUUCAUGUUUUUUGCUGAUUAUUUGUUUGAAAUUAGCCGGCGAAAGAGUUGAACUC